UCUCCAGAGGAGAGAGGAUCUCUACCUGUGGCUUCAUAUUCAUCAACUGCACCUUACUUAAUGGGACACACAUAUCAGAGUGGGUGUUUGAAGCCAAUAACACACUGUGUAUUAACCCAACUACUGCCCCUACCACUAGUUUGGGUACGAAGACUACCAUAGUGUCAAAUAAACCCUCCAAUCAAACUUUGACCAGUAAUGAACCAUGGUACAUUACCUAUUUACCACUAAUAGUUGGUGUACCCUCAGCCCUGGUCAUUGUCUUGGU